rnacentral:pre_miRNA from 1 species
GAGUUGGACACGGCUGAGCAACUUUCACUUAAAUUACUCUAAAAGAAAUGAAUCCUAGAUGGUUUUCCAUCCAAGUCAAGUGUCUUGU